rnacentral:misc_RNA from 1 species
UGUUUGCGUUGUGCUCUUAUAUGCAGUCAUGACCGCACGCCGCUGCGCCGCCGCAGGCAGCGUGUCCCGGUCUUUUGGGUUGCGCCAGAUACCUCUGGCAGGCCGCCGGGCGCUGGGUGGCCCGGCUCUUAGACAGCUGCAGUGCUGCGCCCUGCCAAAGCAACAGAUACGGUCCACACGGGUUGGAGUACGGGUACUCGGUAAUGAUCCCUCCGCUGGUUCACCAACGGAGA